AAAGAAAAAGAAAAAAAAAAUAGAAAAAAGGGUGUCUAGCUCUACUUAUACUGUGUGUCUUACUUACGCUUUGUGUCUAGCUCUAUUUAUGCUGUAUCCAACUCAUAAAGC
rnacentral:ribozyme from 13 species